GUAAACCAGGUUAAUGGUUAAUUUGCACGUCUUAUAAUCCAUUCUUCUAGAUUUAAAACAGCAUCCAAUUUUUUCUCUUUUGUUACUUUGCCGGCAGUGACUCAUGACUUCACCAGUUUAUUAAGUCAAUUCACAACAGUACGAUGCACCAAACAGCUGACGCUGCAAAAUAAUAAUAAGAUGAAUGACUUUCAGCUGCUCUAUUCUUCAGCAGCCUCCACAGUGGGUGAUCUGCACAGUGAUGUUUGGCACUGUUUUUACAUUAGAUGCCGUUCUUGGUGUAACCCUUCUCAUUUUAAUAAGGUUUAGGACCGGUGAAGACCAAAGGCUGUGUGGCUAACUCUGAUGCUAAAUGAAAGCAAGGCAUUUAACAUUGAUAGCUUUCUAUAAUGUGUAACUUCUACUUAUCUGUUUCAUCUGGUCUUUGUUGAAUUAGAACUCUGGAAUAUAUUUUACUAUGCAUUUUGUUUAAAAGACAUACUAUAAUAUGCAGCUCUUACAUUAAUAAACUCAAAGCAGGAGCAAAACCAUUGCUGAAGUACAACUCUGGAAUAAUUUGACUACAAACAACUCCUGAACCUGAAGUUUCCCCUCUGUCAAUGAACACAGCACAAAUGCGACUAAAGUCUCAAGACUGAUGUGUAAGCAGCAGUAAGACUAUUUUUACUGGGAGUCAGUGGACAGUUCAGGAUAUGACCACGCUGCUGCUUAUGGGAGGAGGCUUGUAUUUCCAUCCCACAGGUCUCCCUGAAGCCAAAAUUGACGUAUGCCCUGGUAUGUGACACAGAUCGUCUUUCAGGCCAGAUGAGAGUGUAAAAGGUGAGAAUGAGACAGAUCUGAAAGUUCAAGACUCAAACAGUAGCACUAAACAAAAUCUAACCUUAUUUAACAGCAGUUAAUCCUGUAGGAAUUGUAUCAUGUAUUAUAAGACACAGAACUGGAAUUGAUGGUUAUUUAAUAUAAUUCACUUGGUCGGUGAAAUGCAAGUAAUACGUUUUAUUAUUAUAAAGUUGCAAAUAGCCUACUAGAAGAUGGAUUGUUCAUUUAAAAUACAUUUUUACCAUUAAAAUGAGAUGUUCUUUAGCUGGGUGGUUAAAUAAUCAUAGAAUUUGACACUGGUGCAGAGCUGCAUAUAAAGCAAUUAACAUCACUCAUAAUAAUAGUAGUGCAUUUGCAUUGUUAAUGACGUAAACAAUUAUCAUUAGAGAACAUUGUUGUAAUUAAUUAUUAUUAUUCAUGUCAGAACAGGACCUUAUGGUUUGGCUGAAAUUAUUAAUCUAAACUAUAGCUUUGCCAUUUUUAAAAAUGAAUGUAUGUAACUGACAUACAUUUUAAUAUUUGAAAAAUAUUCAGCUUUCCAUAUGUGAAUGUAUUCUGGUUUUCUCUUGUUUGUAGACAAACAAAAGACAUUUGACGAUGUCAUAAUUCUAGAAUUUGGAAACGUAGUUUUCUGCAUUUAACUGAUCAAAUGACAACUAAUCAAAACUGUAAUUACACAAAUAAAAAUGAUUAUAAAAUGGCAACAUUUCAUCGAGUCGCACUUCUUGAGGCUAAUGCUCUAAUUGUUUUUAUGUCAGUAACAUGUUUUGGUAACAUUCUGACAUUUUAAACAGGUACAAAGCUAGUGGAACAUUUGACUGUUUACCAGAAAUCCAUAAUAUCUAAAUCUCUUUACUUUAUUAUGUAUACAACGAUUGUGUUCUUAAUACCAAUCGUGACAGGAGAAUUUAAUUCGGUGUCUGUUGUUCUCUUGUCAUCGGCAGCAGCUGUGAAGGCAGCAGCAGUUUACGCUAACUGCUAACGUGCUAAUACCACACGGGCACCAAACAACAGGCGGUGAUAAAAAAAUCCCCUCUACAAAGUCACAAGAAUAACACCGCCUGCAUAUGAAAUUGUGGGACCCGAAGACCAUAACCACACUGACUGUGUUCAUUACACCGGACCCUGAGGCGUCAAAGUGUCUCCACAGAAAUAUGAUCUGCCCAUCUAUGGACAGAGAACACACAGUCCCUGAACACCACCUCCUCCACCUGUGCACCUGUCAGAAAGGAAGGUUUAAAGGUCUUCCACUUUUCCACUGCAACUUUUUACAACAUCCCAUGUCGUCUUCUCCAGUGAUGGAGGAAACAGGAGGAGGAGAAGGAGCAGAGAAGUAGGCGGAGGGCUGGAGAGAGAGGAGCAGAGGAGAGAGACCUCCUCUCCAUAUGUCUGCUUCGUUUGCAUCUGAAAGCUGGAGGGAGGAGGAGUGGCUCAAACAGCCUCCUGCAUCAUCAGCAAGGAUGAUGAAGAUGAUGAUUAUGGGAUGAAGGAGGCGCUCCUGACAUACAGACACCUGGGUCAUGACCCUGUGGCUCUUUGCAAACAUCUGUGGCUGCUGCGCAUUCCCUGACACUGUCCUCUGACCAAUCAGCUCUCUGAAACAACGAGCGACCUGCACCCCGCGGCCACGCCCACCCCACGCUCAUCUACAUGCGCUUCUGUAUGGAGUACUCUGAUCUAUGGUCUCUGUCUUUGUGUACCUCAGACAUGGAAGAAGAAUAUGAAGAAAGAAGAGAAUGAUGAUGCGCUAACGAUAUGGAGGAGGAAGAUCACAUCAGGUCUGAUUCUCUGCUGCACCCUGGUGGUUCAGCUGCUGCUGUAAACCUGACCGAUACACCUUUUUGGCCCACAAGUCUGCAACCUCAAAGUGCAGUGUUCCUUUUGGUUUAUUUUGGAACAUCAGCUUAGGAUAAAUAUUAACGUAGUUGCAGUUAUUUUAGACUCAUAUAUAUCCUUACUGCUUUUUUAAUCUUUGGUUUAUUUUAUGUACUGUGUGAAUUAAUUUGAACUCUUUGAUUUGACAGUUGGGGUCAUUCUGAUAACUUGGUGAGUAUCAACAAUUGUUUUGUUUAAAUAAGUUUUUUUCUUUUUGCCAUGAUGAUUUUUUCUCAAACCACACGUCAUACAAGAUGCUUUAAUUAGUAAAAACGUUUGAGGUAGUGUUGACCGUCUUUCUCAUCAGCUUGAGUCCUUGGCUUUAAAUGUCAAAGACCACUGGUUUAUAGCACUGCUGUUUUUCUACGCACAACAAUGUAUAUCGAUUGCUUAGGGCGCGUGGGUACUAUUUUGUGACAUUUAAAUUGUGAAAAUUUGUAAAUGUUCUAAAUUAGGACAGUUUUUUCCUUGAAGUACUUUGUUAAAAUGCACCAUCUUUACUAAUCGUUACUGAAUAACAUAUGGUCAUUGCUGCCCUCUAUCGGACAAAUUUAAAACUGCGGCCUGUUCCUUUUAAUGUACCAAUACUAUUUACACAAUUUAAUAGAAAUUCAUAUUGUGAUAUGGUCAUUUGUUAAUUUUUUUUAUCCUGCUUCCAUCUCAGUUAUACAUGGACAUAUCAAUAACAGUAUUAACCCAUUUUUAAAUCAUGGCUUGCUAUGAAUAGAAGUAUUCCCAGCUCUUUAGAGAUAGGCACACACACAUAGAUGGCACCACAGAAACAGACAACAUUUCUGAGUAAACAUUUUUAAAAUUUUAAUUCAUUUAAGAAAAAAUAGAUUUUUUUAAAACAUUUUCCUUCAAUAACUUUAAUACAGAACAUUUAAAAAAAACCUCAAACCUCAGUUAAUAAGGCAGCAGAGACAGACAAACUAUUUGGUGUGUUAAACAAGGGUCCAACAGGGACUGUAG